UUACUGUUAAUAAAUAUACAUCAGAUAUUCAGAUUUGUAUAAUAUAACUUCAACAACUUACAAUUUUAUAGGUACAACCAUAACUGUUCCUGUAUCCCAGCAAGCAUAUCUUUUGGUUACAGUUUACUGAGAGGAUAUCACUAUCACUUGAUGCUACCCCAAAACAAGCAAUCAUUUCCAGCAUAGAAAAGCACAGUAUACCAGCCACAGUGUAAUGAUGCCAACUGAGUCAUGUUUGCAACAUCCAUGCUUUGUUGUUGCAUUUUCUUUAUUGAAGACUAUAGUUUGACAGAUUUGUUCUAUCGCUAUGACAUCCCACGCUUGGAUUCAAGGAAUUCUAGACCAAUCACAGAAAAUACAUCAAAUAAUACAAUUAUUUGAAACCUUUGACCAUGGCAACAGAAUCACCCAGAACUGGUUUGGUCAGUCUGGGGAUUAGUGAAGUUCAUUCCGGCCAAGACCCAACAAUGAAGCCCAAAGAACGAGACAAAUUUGAGAAACUAGCAAUCAAGACAAAGAAAGUAGUUUACAAGUUUGGAAUUCUAAAAAUAUUGAUCCUUGUUUGUAAGUUUCCAAUGAUAAUCUAGACCUAAGGGAGGGCAUUGAAUCAGCCUCUGGAUACAUGUCAGAGCUCAGUUAUUCCUAAGUGGUUUCAACUUGCUGCUGGGCAAAAGUUUGUAAGCUGUAGACUGUGGAAUGUUGACCUGCAGUUAAUAAUCCAUCCGACAAAGCUUAAAAUUGGUUAAAAUCAUCUAACCAAUAUGAAGAACUUAAGAAAGAAAAUAUUCUAGGUGAAACAACAAAAGAUUUCCACACUCAAUUAUCUCAAUGUGUUUUUUUUCUCAACAUUUGGUUAACCUGAACGGGAAUUCGAAUUUCGGUAAACUAAGAUAAAAUUUCCCUAUCUUGGGAGUUUUAACUAGCAAUAUAGAAAAUUGGAUACGAUACCGAAGCUGACGUCAUGAUAAAGAGAAAAUGUUAAAAAGCA